GACGAACGCUGGCGGCGUGCUUAACACAUGCAAGUCGAACGAUGAAGUUCCUUCGGGAAUGGAUUAGUGGCGAACGGGUGAGAAACACGUGAGAAACCUGCCUUUCAUUUUGGGAUAACUCCGGGAAAUCGGAGCUAACACCGAAUACUCCGUCUCGGCGGCAUCGCUGAGCCGGGAAAAAAUUUUGAUGAAAGAUGGUCUCGCGGCCUAUCAGCUAGUUGGUGAGGCAAUGGCUCACCAAGGCGACGACGGGUAGCCGGCCUGAGAGGGCGAACGGCCACACUGGGACUGAGACACGGCCCAGACUCCUACGGGAGGCAGCAGUGGGGAAUAUUUGGCAAUGGGCGCAAGCCUGACCCAGCGACGCCGCGUGAGGGAUGAAGGCCUUCGGGUUGUAAACCUCUUUCAGUAGGGAAGAAGCGAAAGUGACGGUACCUAAAGAAGAAGCACCGGCUAACUAUGUGCCAGCCGCCGCCGUAA
rnacentral:rRNA from 1 species